CUCAAAGACAUUGGAAGAAUCAGGUAGGCUAGAAUAUUACAAGAAUACCAAAGCAAUGAAAUAAGAUUAAAUUGAAAUGGGAAAUUAGUUUGACUUAGUCCCUUUAAGGGUCUAAAUUCUGCUAAUAUUACAUGGCAUUCAUGAAGUUCAGUAGCAAACAGAGAUUGAAAGGAUGGCACAUAAGGACAGAUUUUGAAAUUUCAGAUGCUGCUGAACUUGAAAUUACAAAAGAGGUACGUUUUUCCAUGAAACUAGUUUGGCUAAGGUUGUGGGUGCUUGGUAACUUAUCCCCGUAACUGACUUUGUGUAGCUGUAUUUUUUUGCUAGAGGCUGAGGCAAACUUGAGAGCUCUGCCUGGUGUGGAUUCCCUGUUGACAGACAUUACGGGAUCGCUCAGAUGGUCCUUCCUACUGGGGACACCUCAGUUUUCUUUUUCUUCUUUCCUGAUGGCUAUUGACAUGAAAUUUGUAGGAUAAUAAUUUCUUCCAAGGCCCCUGCCUUUGUUGCCUUUGGUUAAAGUUGGCUGAUACGUUUUAAAGAUACCAAGUGAACUUGGAGACAAACUUAGAGGACAAAAGCUGGGCUGAAAAUAGUUACAAAACUGAGGUCCACUAUGAAGGCAGAAGUACCGGUCCAAGUAAUUUAUCUUGUUAAACAAUGCACAAUUUUUUCCUAUAUUCUGAACUGAUGUUCAGACUAGACUGUAGAUAACACAUUUUUAAGUUCACCAUUUGGCAUUAAAUGCUACUCGCAGCAUACAUUGAAACCAGCAGGUUUGGUUACUGGUUUUUCCAUCUGAAAGUUCAAAAUUCUAUUACAUCCUGGAGUCAAUGAAUUCUGGGAGUAGUUCAAACAUGUCUGCUGCAUGCAUCUCUGUAGCUUAGAUGUUCGUCUUUGGAGUUUAAUUAGAUGAGAUGAAGGAUUCCUACUCCUAAGAACUCUGGUUUGGCCAUUUUUUGUUUCUUUUAAACAAAACAGUUUCCUUGCUCCCACUUAACAGAUCAAGAGGAGAGUUACUCUGGUUGCUCUGCUGACAGCUCAUCGUUUUCUAAAUGGAGUUUCUUCUACACGGAGCCAGUCAAAACUGCUGAGGCUUUGCAUGAAGACAGAGGUUUGGUAGCUUAAAGAUCUGCCUUUUCUUGCUUUCUUACUUCAUCUCCUAUCAUUAGGCAAAGCUAUUAACAAAUAGGUGGGACAAGAAAGAUAAUUCAUCAAAUCAAGCAAAGAUGGAUUACAAGAUACUGUUUACCUUAAAAUAAGCUGGGACCAUCAUACUUCUUUACACAAGAUGUCAGAGCUCCAGCAAAAAUCUGGGAAGAGAACACAGGAUUUCCACAGCUGUUUUCUUCUUGUGGAGCAGAGGAAGAUGCACUUGAGAAAAUGAUACUGCAGAAAAGGAUGUGAGUAAUUCUGGUUUCAUAUCUGGUCUGAGUCGGUGUAUCUCAGCUGCCUUUUGAGGGAUGCUCCACACUCUUCCUCUAGAAUAGAUGCAGCCUUGUCAGGCAUAGACCCCGUGCUAUGCAAUGUCAAGCCACCUGCUAAAGCAGGGGGAUCUGAGAGGAAGCAAGCACACCCCAGAGUUUGGGGGUCACCAUGCUGCAUUGGUGUACAGACAGGAUACCCAUGGGCUGCCUGUGAGCAUUUCUGCGGGUGUCACAUGGGCUGCUUGAGAGGCUAACAUCUGCAUGAGGGACAGGUACAGCCUGACUCAGGUUGUGCUCUGGUGUACAGCGGGAGGCUGUUACAACUGCUAAUUUCUGUUGUGCUUCUAUAAAAAUAUAAUAUACUCAAAUAAAAGCAUGGAACUUAG